rnacentral:rRNA from 1 species
AUUGAACGCUGGCGGCAGGCUUAACACAUGCAAGUCGAGCGGGGUGAGGUGCUUCGGUACUGAUCCUAGCGGCGGACGGGUGAGUAAUGCUUAGGAAUCUGCCUAUUAGUGGGGGACAACAUUCCGAAAGGGAUGCUAAUACCGCAUACGCCCUACGGGGGAAAGCAGGGGAUCUUCGGACCUUGCGCUAAAUGAUGAGCCUAAGUCGGAUUAGCUAGUUGGUGGGGUAAAGGCCUACCAAGGCGACGAUCUGUAGCGGGUCUGAGAGGAUGAUCGGCCACACUGGGACUGAGACACGGCCCAGACUCCUACGGGAGGCAGCAGUGGGGAAUAUUGGACAAUGGGCGGAAGCCUGAUCCAGCCAUGCCGCGUGUGUGAAGAAGGCCUUUUGGUUGUAAAGCACUUUAAGCGAGGAGGAGGCUACCUGGAUUAAUACUCUAGGAUAGUGGACGUUACUCGCAGAAUAAGCACCGGCUAACUCUGUGCCAGCCGCCGCCGUAACAC